GUCGCCUCUGUGGCCUUGAAAAACACUGGUGAUGGCCGCGCGAAGUGUUUCUGCACACGGGACAGUCACUCAGUCACACACUCAGUCAUUGUACUUGUAAGAACACACGUACAGAGAACUACGCGAGGCUGCCAACCCACAAAUCUGGGUGGAGUGGCAUUCUAACUACAGACUGGAGACCCGUUCACUUAAAGGACCCGGUUGGAGUUGGACACAAAAUUCAAGAGCAGAUUUUCAGCCGUUACAAUAUCUUAAAUCUUCUGAUAUGAUUUAAACUGGGCAAUGUUGGGUUUGCUGUAGUGAAUCACCAAGACACAAGUCCAUGCACGUGUCUGGGAUGUAAGGAGGGUAGAAAUGUCUCCCUUCACACCACAGGAGGCAGCACCACCGUGGCAGGACCCCAGAGUCAGGUGCUGUGCUGGGAGGAGACAAACAGCAGCAGUAGUGAAAGAAUCCAUUGGUGGUGGUGGUGGUGGUGGUGCAGCUGUCCACUCCACAGCGACUGUCUUGCUUCAACAUGCUGUCUUCCCACACCUGCAAUGAACAACACCUCUCCUGUGAUGAACAACACUGAGUAAAACCUCUUCCCUGCAUCAGCAACACUCAGCAACACCUCUCCUGUGAUGAACAACACUGAGUAACACCUCUUCCCUGCAUCAGCAACACUCAGCAACACCUCUCCUGUGAUGAACAACACUGAGUAACACCUCUUCCCUGCAUCAGCAACACUCAGCAACACCUCUCCUGUGAUGAACAACACUGAGUAGCACCUCUUCCCUGCAUCAGCAACACUCAGCAACACCUCUCCUGUGAUGAACAACACUGAGUAACACCUCUCCCCUGCAUCAGCAACACUCAGCAACACCUCUCCUGUGAUGAACAACACUGAGUAACACCUCUCCCCUGCAUCAGCAACACUCAGCAACACCUCUCCUGUGAUGAACAACAGUCAGCAACAUCUGCUUCUCUUCACACAUUCAUUCAAGCCUGCCUCUCUCUCUCUCUCUCUCUCUCUCUCUCUCUCUCUCUCUCUCUCUCUCUCUCUCUCUCUCUCUCUC